rnacentral:rRNA from 1 species
AAAACAUGGCUUUUCGUUUAUUUUUGGAAAGUCUGGCCUGCCAGUGAUAUUUAACGGCCGCGGUAUUUUGACCGUGCAAAGGUAGCAUAAUCAUUAGUCUUUUAAUAGGAGUCUGGUAUGAAAGGUUUAACGAAAUAUAAUCUGUCUUGUAAUAAUAUUUAGAACUUAACUUUUAAGUUAAAAGGCUUAAAUUAUGUUGAUGGACGAGAAGACCCUAUAGAGUUUUAUAUAAUUAAUUUCUAUUAUUUUAUUGAUUUAAUGUUAAUAUUGUUUUUAGUUGUAUUUGGUUGGGGUGAUUAUAAAUAUAUAACUAACUUUUAUAUUUGAUAACCAUUAAUUUAUGAUUGUUAGAUCCAUUAUUAUUGAUUAUUAGAAUAAAUUACCUUAGGGAUAACAGCGUAAUCUUCUUUCAGAGUUCAAAUUUACAAGAAGGCUUGCGACCUCGAUGUUGGAUUAAGAUAAUUAUUAGGUGUAGAAGCUUAAUUAAUAGGUCUGUUCGACCUUUAAAUUCUUACGUG